CACCCUCUCCCAAACGUUCAUCGUGUGGCUUAUUAAUUGCCGUCUGUAUAUAUGGAAAAAAAAUUCUGUGCAGACAGACAUUUUUUUAAGAAAAAAGUAGCUCAAAUAAUUAGUUCAGAGAGAAAGAGAAACAUCAAGGAAGAUAAAUGCAAAAGACGACUCCAGAAUAAUAGAAAAAGUCAUUAAGGAAGAAAAAUACACGCAGUUAAUACAGCAAUACCGAAGAAAACGAAUAACCAAAAAUUUACACAACGAUCUAAGGGGAUCCAUAUCGAAAAAAUUCAAACGCAAAAGCUGUAAAAUGGAUCUAUAGCGGAAGAAUAGAGAAAUUAAACGUUUUCCCGAAAAACAAAAAAAAAGUAGAAAUGAGAAGUGUACCGAUGAAAUCAGAAAAUCUUCAGGAUAUUGAGAAUACGCCGAUCAUUAGAGGCUCUCAGAGAAACAGAGAAAACCUGAAAUUGAGAGAGAGAAUCGCAGGGAAGAAGAGAGAGAAAGGAGUUUUGAUUUUAAUUUUUCCUAAUUUUGGUUUUUAUUUGCUUUUUGAUGAUCUAUAAAUUUUAGUUUUGACUAGAUAAUGGGGCAAUGUGACAGUGAAGAAGUCUUGGCGUUAUAAAACAGAUUUUGUUAUAAAUAGAACUCUAUUUAAGGUGAAUGUGUUAUGAAAUAAUAUAAAAGACAAGAACAAUAACUCAAGAAUAAGAGCAAUAGAGAGAAGAGUAGGAGAGUUCUUCUUAUUG
rnacentral:lncRNA from 1 species